rnacentral:rRNA from 1 species
UCUAUGGAGAGUUUGAUCCUGGCUCAGGACGAACGCUGGCGGCGUGCCUAAUACAUGCAAGUCGAGCGGAGUUUUGAAAAGCUUGCUUUUCAAAACUUAGCGGCGGACGGGUGAGUAACACGUGGGCAACYUGCCCUUGAGACGGGGAUAACUCCGGGAAACCGGAGCUAAUACCGGAUAACACAUAUCUUCGCAUGAGGAUAUGUUAGAAGGUGGCUUUUAGCUACCACUCAAGGAUGGGCCCGCGGCGCAUUAGCUAGUUGGUGAGGUAACGGCUCACCAAGGCGACGAUGCGUAGCCGACCUGAGAGGGUGAUCGGCCACACUGGGACUGAGACACGGCCCAGACUCCUACGGGAGGCAGCAGUAGGGAAUCUUCCGCAAUGGACGAAAGUCUGACGGAGCAACGCC